UCAGCACAAUGUCCAAGUUUUUCAGUACUUCAGAAUUCUUAAGUCGACCAGUUAGAAUGGCUGAAUCUGGAGCAGGCAACCCAUCGCCAUUCCAUUCACCUCCAGCAGAUGUCACUGUUUCACCAAUGCAUACAGGGUGAAUUUCAUCCACCAAUACAGUCUCAGCACGAGCAUGGUAAGGUUUUAAGAAGUUGACAUGAAAUGUUUGCCGUUUCUUCCACCUUUCUGGAGUCGCAAUGAGGCAAUCUUGGUCAGGCAGCUGUUUCAAAACUCUGUGUGGGCCAGAAACAGUUUUGCGAGAUGAGUGGAAAGAUGCUGAACCACCACAAAACUUGUUGCAUUAGGUUAAUGGGUUUAAGCAGACUCUUUACUGCUACACAGUUAGCAAAAGAGAAACUAUCAUCUGCACAGAAAAAAAAUGAAGCGUUUGUAUGAUAAGAAAGCCGAACAUUGUGUUUUUCUUUCAGGUGACCAAGUUCUGGCCAGCUGCCCCAUUCCUUUCUGUCUGCCUGCCACCCUCUCCCCUUUCUCCCUCUUCUCUGGGCCGUAACACAGGACUUGCCACCAGUGUCAACACUGAGAGCUGUGAAGCCUCUGACACCACUCCCAGUCUUUGCAGUUCCACCGGCCCCCACAGAAUCAGCAAGGUCUCCAACAUCCUCAGAAGAAACAGUUUUGCUCUCACCUGGAAUGCUGACUGAAACCAUCGGCUCCACUGGUGCAGGGGCAGUGGCUGCUUCUGCCUACAGUGGCUGCUGCAGUGACCUCAGCCUCCUGUCCAAUCUGCUUGUGCCCCACAUCUCCACACUCAAAACACUUCAUCACACUUAAGCUUGCAUAUACCAUAUAUCCCUCCUCAUGUUUAACAUGGAAAGAGACAUCUAACAACCAGGUUGGUGAAUCCAGAUACAUAAACACUUGUCUAUGCAAAGACAGAACAUGAUUAAGUUUGGAAUCUGUACGUCCCAAACUGACAGUCUUGAACCCACCAAGCCAGUCUUCUGAAGCGUUUCAGCACCUGCACUAGCACCUUGUUAGAUACAAAUAAAUGAUUCUGUCUUUUUCUUCUAUCUCUUUUAGCUGCUUCAUGGACACACACGUGUACAUACAUAUAAGGGUAACGAAAUGACAUCACAUGGGAAUGCCCUCUUUACGGGGUAGCUUCUGUAUGAGCCAAAAGGAGUGGAAAUCUACUGUCUGGGGCCACUUUGUGUUGUCCCUUAAAGGAAUCCAUGAUUAGUUGUAACAUUAGACUUUAUUUGAGAAAUAUUUAUUUUAGACAUAAAAACAACACAGUAAUAAUAGUGUAGGCAAUUUAGUUUUUAUAAAUUUUAAUAAAAUAUUGUCACAUGAACAUCGCCAUGUUGUUCACACUGCAAUGCAUUCUGGGUAAAUGACGUCUAAAGGCUGACUUCGUUAGCUCCAUCCAGACAAAACAGCAAUGAGUAACAUCUUUAAGCCUUUACUCAUUAAGCACGUUGAAAUCAAUGGGAAUGUAGAAAUCACAAAGAGCAAUAUUGAAGAUGAGAAGAACCAAAUGGAGAAAGAGGACAGAGUUGGAGUUGGUAUUUUGCUGCUGCUACCUUCAGCUUCAUAAAUGAAAAAGAAUGACACAUACCUCUGGUCAGAGUGUAUGAUCUGGUAAGUAGUUCUGUAACUUUGUGUCUGGUCUGGUAACAGCAGUUUAUGGUCAGGGUCAGGUCUUCGGUUCGGAAGUAAAUAGGGCAGCAGUACUGCUGCAGAGCUCUGUUAGCAUUUAAAAGAGCUUCCGGUGCCGUCUGUCUGAUGUUUCUCCUGGCAUUUUUUGCUCUCUAGCCAGCAGCAGCAGGGUUUAGGCGCUUUGUGCAAAAAAACUGUCAGCAUGGUAUUUGUUUUUAGCUUGUAAAGGUAAUAAUCAGCUGUUAGAGCCUUUGUCAGUUUUCCUUGUACAAAUGAAUCAAAGUCUUCUGGAGAGAAAUGUUAAGAGCACAAAUGUAGGUCCCUCGGACAUUGUGUUCAACUCUCUCUCACUGUGCUCUUCGUUCUUUCAUGUGGGAAGUGAUCCAGAGUCACCUCACUGUUUUCUUUUUAAGUUACAGCCAACAGUGACGUAUGGCAUUGUCUAAAAUUACACCAGUCAAACGCAAUAUGAUAACUCGGGUUCUCAUAUUACAGCCUUCCUGUGUUUGCUCUGUAAAAUAAACAGUAAACACACCUGCAUCAUCAGCCCAGCAGCUGAAAAAAUGGCGACCUCCAUGGAUAAAAAUAUAACAAGAAAUAAAAUUCUUGAAGAAAUUAUAAGCUGUGGCAUAUCACAAACAGCAUUUUUUUUUAGUUAGGAAAAUUACAACAUUUUUAGGCCAACAUGUUCAACUAAUCUUGGAUCCUUUUAAGGGUGAAUGGCAGUGGAUCAGUGCUGUAACAGUAAACUAUUUCUCUGUUGUUCUUAAACAGUGUUAUAAUUUAUUUGGCUUUAAUAAGCCAUCAUCACUAGUCAUCAACAGGGCGGAAAUCCAGACAAUGUAAUCCAGGUGGACGGAACAACUAAAGGAGAAAUUUGAAACUCAUUUAUUCCAUUCCCACUUUCAACAAGUUGAGUAACAAACUCUGGCUGCUUGACAGAAACAACCCAUGCAUGAGACAUAGGAAAUGUUUCAGUGUCCCACUUUAUCUCCAACUGCUAACAGCACCUGCUCCACAGAGGCUGUGGAGCCACUCUCAUUAUGUUUCUCAAUGAGAGGGACGGUGUCCUGCCAUAACUGUGCAAACCACAAAAAUAACAAUCUCUUAUAACAAUCUACAAAGAACAGAAAUAAGUGAAAAAAAUGUUAGAAAAAAAGUUUUACAUCAGUCCAUUCACCACACAGCAUGCAGUACAACAUUCAGCAUACAGUACGAAAAAAA